rnacentral:rRNA from 1 species
AGUGAACGCUGGCGGUAUGCCUAACACAUGCAAGUCGAACGGCAGCACAGUAAGAGCUUGCUCUUACGGGUGGCGAGUGGCGGACGGGUGAGGAAUACAUCGGAAUCUACUUUUUCGUGGGGGAUAACGUAGGGAAACUUACGCUAAUACCGCAUACGACCUACGGGUGAAAGCAGGGGAUCUUCGGACCUUGCGCGAUUGAAUGAGCCGAUGUCGGAUUAGCUAGUUGGCGGGGUAAAGGCCCACCAAGGCGACGAUCCGUAGCUGGUCUGAGAGGAUGAUCAGCCACACUGGAACUGAGACACGGUCCAGACUCCUACGGGAGGCAGCAGUGGGGAAUAUUGGACAAAGGGCGCAAGCCUGAUCCAGCCAUACCGCGUGGGUGAAGAAGGCCUUCGGGUUGUAAAGCCCUUUUGUUGGGAAAGAAAAGCAGCAGGUUAAUACCCCGCUGUUCUGACGGUACCCAAAGAAUAAGCACCGGCUAACUUCGUG